CACAGAUGAGCGCACGUUGGUGUCUGCCAUACGACAGGCUAAGAGGGAAUGCGACGGGGCAUCGAGGCGCCCCAAAAGCAGCCGCCCCCGCGACCGUGACCGGAGAGGUCACCUGAUGCCACUGGUCCAAAUCGGAUCGGGAAGGUGGGUGACCGCAGGGCCGAUGGCCCCGACUCCGCAAGCCGGGAAACCUGCCAGCGAACAAGAAGUACC
rnacentral:ncRNA from 2 species